GCGUGCAUAGCUCAGUGGUUGAGCGCAUGCUUAGCAUGCACGAGGUCCUGGGUUCAAUCCUCAGUACCUCCA
rnacentral:tRNA from 1 species